UAAAAAGAUCCGACUCAGUAAGGUGAUGCAUUCAAGAUUCGAACAUCGCUAACACAAACUGGAAGCAGUUUGUUCAACGUUGUUCGGCAUUAUCAGUUAUGGAGGUCACCGGUACUGAUAGUGAUUGGAGGAGCCCAGCCUUUCGACAGAAAGUAGUGGCCCAAAUAGAUGAAGCCAUGAGAAAAGCAGGAACUGCUCACACAAAGUCCAGCACUGACAUGGAAAACCAUGUUUUUAUCAAGGCAAAGACCAGAGAGGAGUAUUUGUCUUUAGUUGCGAGACUGAUAAUUCAUUUUAGAGACAUUCAUAAAAAGUCACAAGGUGGGCCUGACCCCAUGAAUGCCCUGCAAAUUAUACCAGGAGUGGGUGGAGGUGGUCCUGGAGUUAUUGGCAUUGGACCACGGCCCCCUGGUGCACAAAUGGGUGGUAUGGGGCAAAUGCAAAUGCAAAUGGGUCAACAUGCCAUGCAGGGCGUAGCGGGAGGCCAGCAGGCUGCAGGGGCUGCUGGGCAGAUGCCUAUGAUGCAGCAGCAGCAACAGCAGCCAUCCAUUCAGUUUCAGCAGUUCCAGCCUCAGCAACAGGCAGCCAUGCAGCCUCAGCAGCCAGGAACUAUGCAGACUGCCAUGCAAUUCCAACAGAUAAGGCAGCACCAUCAGAAUCCACAAAUGCAGCAUCAAAAUCAACAACAGCAGCAGGCGCAGACUCCGCAGCAACAACAGAACCAGUUGCACCAAAGAAUGCAGCAGCAGCAGUUAGCACAAAUGCAGCAACUGCAACAACAACACCACCAACAACAACAACAACAGCAGCAGCAGCAGCAGCAGCAGCAACUGCAUCAACAACAGGUCCAUGCACAGGCUCAGGCUCAAGCUCAAGCUCAGGCCCAGGCUCAAGCUCAGGCCCAAGCUCAGGCCCAGGCUCAAGCUCAGGCUCAAGCUCAGGCCCAGGCCCAGGCCCAGGCCCAGGCCCAAAUGCAGCAACAGCAUCUUCAAGCCCAGGUUCAGGCUCAAGUCCAAGCCCAGGUCCAAGCUCAAAGUCAAGCCCAGGCACAGGCUCAGGGAGUGGCGGGUCAGAUGGCCCCUCACUCACAGCAGCAGCAAGUCAUGGUGCCCCAGUCAUUAGCACAAAUGGCUCCCGGACAGCAUCAACCCAUCAACUCACUCAGCCAACAGCAGCAACAUCUGAAACUCCAGCAGGCAAUACAGCAGGCGAGAGUAUUGCAGCAGCAGCAGCAACAACAACAACAACAGCAGCAGCAGCAGCAACAACAACAACAACAACAACAACAGCAGCAGCAGCAGCAGCAACAACAACAGCAGCAACAGCAGCAGGUUCAACAAGUCCAGCAGGGAGGCCAGCUCACUGCAGUCCCUAGCCAGAUGAUGCCCCGUCCUGGGAUGCAAAUUCCACCUCGGUUGCCCCGCGCCACCCCGAACUCUGCCAUUCCUCAAAACCCCGUUGCCAUUGGAGGACAGCAAAUGCCACAGGGGCAGCAAAUGAUGUCAUCACCCUCCCCAGUUCAGGUGCAGACGCCCCAGCCGAUGCCACCUCCCCCCCAGCCUCAACCGUCCCCCCAGCCUCCUUCCUCUCAGCCCAACUCUGUCAGCUCUGGUCCGACCCCUUCUCCAGGAGGUUUCCAACCCAGUCCCUCUCCUCAGCCAUCCCAGAGUCCUGCAUCUUCACGCACCCCCCAGAGUUACCCCCUCCAGGUACCUUCCCCUGGACCUCUCAAUACACCAGGCAACCCAAACUCUGUGAUGAGCCCAGCAGGGGCCUCACAAUCUGAGGACCAGCUUUACAUGGACAAACUGAAGCAGCUGUCAAAAUAUAUUGAGCCGCUACGAAGGAUGAUUAACAAAAUAGACAAAAAUGAAGAUAGGAAGAAGGAUUUGAGCAAAAUGAAAAGUUUGCUCAACAUUCUGACUGACCCCAACACAAGAUGUCCACUUAAAACUCUACAGAAGUGUGAAAUAGCAUUGGAGAAACUAAAGAAUGACAUGGCAGUGCCGACUCCUCCCCCUCCUCCAGUGCCCUGUACCAAAAAGCAGUACCUAUGCCAGCCGCUGCUGGAUGCUGUCUUGGCCAAUAUCCGCUCCCCUGUUUUCAACCAUUCACUUUACCGCACGUUUGCUCCUGCUAUGACAGCAAUUCAUGGACCCCCAAUCACGGGCCCCUCAAUUCCUCUCCGGAAGCGGAAGCUGGAAGAGGACGAGCGCCAGACCAUCCCUAACAUACUUCAAGGGGAGGUAGCUCGGCUUAAUUCCAAAUUCUUGGUCAAUCUGGACCCGUCCUUUUGCAGCAACAAUGGAACGGUGCAUCUCAUAUGUAAACUAGAUGAUAAAAAUCUUCCCAGUGUCCCCCCUCUUCAGCUGAGCAUUCCAGCAGACUACCCCGAUCAGAGCCCUCACUGGGAAGAUGACGGUCAGCAGUAUGGGGCCAACCCCUUUUUGCAGACUGUGCAUAAGAACAUGACCUCUAAACUCCUUCAGCUUCCUGACAAGCACUCGGUGACAGCACUUCUGAACACCUGGGCUCAAAGCGUAAGGCAGGCUUGCCUUUCAGCUGCUUAGAAAUGUAUUCCCAUCAGCCCAGUAUAAUCCUUGCACCUCUAUGGAAUGAAGUCCUUCAGGCAGUGUUUGGAGAGAAAGCUGAGGAAAUGUGCCUGAUUCAUCAACUCUGCCAAAGAAAAAUGAAGGUAAAGGGUUAAAAGCCAUCUGGAUAUAUAUCCAAACUUUGUGAAGUCAUUCUCAAAACCUUUUACCAUAAUGUACGCUAUACAUUUAAAAGUGAGUAUAUUUUUGUAUUUUUUUUUUUUUUGUAAUUUCAAUUAUUAAAUUAUAUUUAUGUCAAUGGGGAAUGUAUUUGUAGCAAUAGACAAAAAUACAUUGUAUGGGUCAAACUUAUAGAUUUUUCUUUUAUGACAAAAAUCAUUAGGAUAUUAUGUAAAGAUCAUGUUCCAUGGAGAUAUUUAGUAAAUUUCCUACUGUGAAUGUACUAAAACCUAAUUUUUGAAUAGUAAUAUGCUGUGAUUUUCUCAUUAUUUAGAUUUUUUUUUUUUGCACCCUUAGAUUCCAGAUUUUCAAAUAGAUGUCUCUCAGACAAAUAUUGUCCUAUCCUAACAAACUAUACAUCAAUGAAAAGCUUAUUCAGCUUUCAGUUGAUGUAUAAAUCUCAAUUUUGUGAAAACUGACUCUUAUGACUGGUUUUGUGGUCCAGGUUCACAUAUGUAAAAUCAUCAAUGGAAAAUAAUGCAACUGGUGGUGUAGUAUGUAUGUAUGUAUGUGUGUGUAUGAUUUUUUGAAGGAGUUUCUUAAGCUCAUGAAGGCAGCAUUUAUUUGAUCAAAAAUAAAGAGAUAAAAAACAGUAAUAUUGCAAAAUGUUAUUAUGAUAUAUAAUAAUGGUUUCUAUUUUAAUAUCCUUUAAAAUAUUUAUUUCUGUGAUUUCAAAGCUGAUUUUCCAUCAGCCAUUACUCCAGUAUUACGUGUCUUAUAAUCCUUAAGAAACCAUAAUAUGCUGAUUUAUUAGUAUAAUUAUCAAUGUUGGCAACAGUUGUGCUGCCAAAUAUUUUUUUGGAAACUGAAAUACUUUUUUUCAGGAUUCUUUGAUGAACAGAAAAGUUAAAAAGAACAGCAUUUAUUC